rnacentral:rRNA from 1 species
UAGGGAAUAUUGGAUAAUGGGCGAAAGCCUGAUCCAGCAACGCCGCGUGUGCGAUGACGGCCUUCGGGUUGUAAAGCACUUUUAGAGGAGAUGAAAAAGGACAGUAUCCUCUGAAUAAGCCUCGGCGAACUACGUGCCAGCAGCCGCGGUAAAACGUAGGAGGCUAGCGUUAUCCGGAUUUAUUGGGCGUAAAGCGCGUGCAGGCGGUUUAUCAAGUUGGAUGUGAAAGCUCCUGGCUUAACUGGGAGAGGUCGUUCGAAACUGAUAGACUAGAGAAUGGUAGAGGGAGGUGGAAUUCCGGGUGUAGUGGUGAAAUGCGUAGAUAUCCGGAGGAACACCAGUGGCGAAAGCGGCCUCCUGGGCCAUUUCUGACGCUAAGACGCGAAAGCUAGGGUAGCAAACGGG